CAAUUGUAUCAGUUUCACUCCUUCUUUCAUUCAAUAUGAAACGCUUUUAAGUUAAAAAAAAAAUAGAAACGCUUCCCGUUUCACCGGGAGUUGGGUUUGGCACCCCACCUAUGGGGCUUGGCACCCCACUUUAUCAAAUACGGAAUUUAAAAUUCCGUAUUCUCCCUAUUGAAUACGGAACUUAAAAUUCCGUACUGUAUUUAAGCAUGCGCGUCACAUUUUCAACCACUCAUUAUAUACUAAAACAGAUACGGAAUUUUAUUUUCCGUAUUGAUACGGAACUUUAAAUUCCGUAUUUAAUAAAGUGGGGUGCAAAGCCUAAGGGGUGGGGCACCAAACUCAAUUCCCCGUUUCACCUUACCUUCGUUCAUUUUCUUCUUCUCUGAGCCGUUUCUCUAGGGUUUCAAAAUCAUUUAAAACCUUCCUCUGAGAAUUUCAUGUAUCUGCCCAUCUCUGCUUCAGUGAAGGAUUCGCAUUCUUUUGUAGGAUGUUUUAGGAUUUUGCAGUGAAUGACCUACCAAGGCGAUAUACCUGAUGUUAUUGCUUGCACUUGCCUGAUUCGUAACUUUUGCAGGCGGCGCGAGUCAUGGAGAUUCUGGAGGGUCCGAAAUUGACAGAUUUAGGAUAGAGGCUUUCUGCAAUUCUUCAGGUAUCAGAGCCUCUGAAUUCAAGUUCCCUCUGGCUGCUAGAAAUAGCUGAUGUGAUGAUGCAGAGUCCUGCAGCCAACGUUCAUGUUCGACCAUGGAGCCUCCUAUGACAGCAUUAAGGAUUCUUUUUCGUUCUUCGCCCAACUUCUUUGGCUGCCUAUGCACAAAAACUUAGGACGUUGAAGGAAAUUGUUUUUGUAGUUUUUACUGUUUCAGAUCUUUUUUUUAUACUGGACAAUUGUUGAGGAAUGCAUAGUCUUAGUCAAUUAGAUCAUUAUGGCAUUGUGAGGCUAUAUUUUAGUACAUUGCAAGACACAUUUUGUCUGUGUACAUAGCCUUGGGUAUAUUUUCUCAAUAAUUUAUUUUCCUCCGGGUUACUUCUCUUUGUGAUUUCUUCUCUAUCUUCUUUUCAUAUGAUACAGUGAUUCAUUAAAUUCUCAUUCUUUAAUUGUGAUUCAUAUUCUUUUUUACUGGACAAUUGUUGACCAAUAUUUUACUUAUUAUGUUGAUAGGUUGUAAGGGCAAAGAAGGAGGACACGAGAACUGUAUAUGCAUUGAAAAUCAUGGACAAAAAUAUUAUUAUUAAAGAGAACAAAAGAGCUUAUGUGAAGUUGGAACAUGUAGUGAAGUUGGAAUGUUUGUACAUCUACUGAAUGUACUGUGUAAACAUUGGAGGAGGAU